rnacentral:snRNA from 1 species
AAAAGAUGAUAAAUACUCUUAAA